rnacentral:rRNA from 1 species
GGAUGGUCAUGCGUCGCAUUAGCUUGUUGGCGGGGUAACGGCCCACCAAGGCGACGAUGCGUAGGGGUUCUGAGAGGAAGGUCCCCCACACUGGUACUGAGACACGGACCAGACUCCUACGGAAGGCAGCAG